rnacentral:rRNA from 1 species
UACGUAGGGAGCAAGCGUUGUUCGGAUUUACUGGGCGUAAAGGGCGCGUAGGCGGCAAAUUAAGUCAGCUGUGAAAUCUCCGAGCUUAACUCGGAACUGUCAGCUGAUACUGAUCUGCUAGAGUGCGGAAGGGGCAAUCGGAAUUCUUGGUGUAGCGGUGAAAUGCGUAGAUAUCGUCUGGAACGCCGAAGGUGAAAACAGCUCGCUGGGGUUGUGCUGACGCUGAGACACGAAAGCCAGGGGAGCGAACGGG